CCACGGGUGGCAGCAGUGGGGAAUAUUGGACAAUGGGCGAAAGCCUGAUCCAGCCAUGCCGCGUGUGUGAAGAAGGCCUUCGGGUUGUAAAGCACUUUCAGUGGGGAAGAAAGCCUUGGGGCUAAUACCCUCGAGGAAGGACAUCACCCACAGAAGAAGCACCGGCUAACUCCGUGCCAGCAGCCGCGGUAAUACGGAGGGUGCGAGCAGUUAAUCGGAAUUACUGGGCGUAAAGCGCGCGUAGGCGGUCUGAUAAGCCGGUUGUGAAAGCCCCGGGCUCAACCUGGGAACGGCAUCCGGAACUGUCAGGCUAGAGUGCAGGAGAGGAAGGUAGAAUUCCCGGUGUAGCGGUGAAAUGCGUAGAGAUCGGGAGGAAUACCAGUGGCGAAGGCGGCCUUCUGGACUGACACUGACGCUGAGGUGCGAAAGCGUGGGUAGCAAACAGGAUUAGAUACCCGAGUAGUC
rnacentral:rRNA from 1 species